UCGAGGACGAACGCUGGCGGCGUGCCUAACACACGCAAGUCGAGCGGAGUUAACAAGAGGAAGUUUCGGAUGGAAUUUGUAAUUAGCGGCGGACGGGUGAGUAACGCGUGAGCGACCAACCUUGGCACAGGGGGAUAACGGACCGAAAGGUUCACUAAUACCGCAUGAGACCACGGUGUUGCAUGACACAGAGGUCAAAGGAGCAAUCCGGUGCAAGACGGGCUCGGCGUCCGAUUAGGGUAGUUGGUGGGGUAAUGGCCCCACCAAGCCUAUGAUCGGUAGCCGACCUGAGAGGGUGAUCGGCCACAUUGGAACUGAGAUACGGUCCAAACUCCUACGGGAGGCAGGCAGUGGGGAAUAUUGGGCAAUGGGGGAAAAACCCCCUGACCCAGCAACGCCGCGUGAAGGAAGAAGGUUUUCGGAUUGUAAACUUCUGUCCUUGGUGAAGAGAAGAAGACAGUAGCCAAGGAGGAAGCCCCGGCUAACUACGUGCCAGCAGCGGC
rnacentral:rRNA from 1 species